CCUCAUGGGUUCAAGCGAUUCUCGUGCCUCAGCCUCCCCAGUACCCUGGAAGUGCUCAGUACAUCAUAUGAGCCAGAGUGCUGGCCAGGAAUGAGACCACGCUUUGCCUGUUGGUCACCGCAUCUCCAGGGAACUCAGAGGCAUCUCCAGGAAACACCUGAAUAUGUGAGCUGGUUCCUUACAACAGUCCAAUGAAGCAGAGGUGUGAGCAGAUCCUUUUUACAGCUAAGGAAACUGAGGCACAAAGAGGUUGACAGCACACUUGCCCCAAAGCGCAGAUCUGAAAUCCAGGCAGCGCUCACUCCACUUGGCAUCUGCUGCAGUGGCUCAGAGGCUGGGUCUGGAGUCAUCUGAAGGCCCUUUCACUCUUGUGUCUGGAGGGCAAUUGGCCCUUGCCAGCUGGGACUUUUCCACGUGGCUCCAUGGGUGCCUCACAGCAUGGUCCUGGGUCCCAAGAAGACGAGAUAGAACAUUUUUAGAUUUAGCCUCAGAAGUCACAUGGCAUCACAUCUGCAGUAGGCCCACUGGAUUCAAGGGGACACAGACCUUCAUCUCUCCAUGGGUGAGUGUGGCCUCAUGUUGCAGGAAGAGCUAUGGAGUAUCACAAAGUGAUGCAGCCAUCUUUAGAAAAUGCACUCUGCCACACACACCUGCUUCCUUAGGCCACAGGGCCUUUGGACAUCCUAUUUCUUCCACAGGGAGCGCUCUUUCCCCUCUUCCCCUAAUUAAAGUCUACUCAUCUUUUACAUCUCAGCUGGGUUAUCAUUUCUUCAGGGAACCCUUCCCUGAGCUCCCCAACCAGGUCAGUUCCCCUAGUUUAUGCUUACUUAUUCCUCCUCAAGGAGUGUCACAGUUAUAUUUUACAUAUGUGUGCAUGCAUAUAAUAUAUGCAUGUAAUUUUGUGCUCUUUUAUACACACAAACACAGCAUAUCAAUGCCUGUCUUAAUUAGAUGGUAAGCCUCAUAAAAAGAGGAACUGUAGAGCUUGUUGGAUUUUGUUCAUUGCUCUAUCCUCAAUGCCUACUGUAAGGACUAGAAUACAGCGGGUCUCAUAUAUUUGUUGAAUAAAAAAAUGCAUGGAUACUCAA